AAAAAGGACUUGGAAGACUGUGGAAAGCAUUUUGAAACAUUUUAAUAUCAUAGGAAAUCUGAAGAACCCUCCAAAAUGAAGCAACUUCCUAAGCAGAUUAAUCACACUCACAGUACCCCCUCCAAAAGCCAUGAACCACAGAAACACGUUUUUCUCCUGACCUAUGGAUUCGUAGGUGCUGAGGAGAGCCCAGCGUGGGACUGGAUCACUCUGCACUGAAUUCCCAGGCAAAUAAAUGAAUGGGGAAAUGCAAAACCUGGCAGAGGCACC
rnacentral:lncRNA from 12 species